CCGGAAACGGUGUCUAAUACCGCAUGUGAUCUUCGGAUUAAAGCUUCGGCGCUUUGGGAACGGCCUGCGCAUGAUUAGCUUGUUGGUGAGGUAAAAGCUCACCAAGGCGACAAUCAUUAGCUGGUCUGAGAGGAUGAUCAGCCAGACUGGGACUGAGAACGGCCCAGACUCCUACGGGAGGCAGCAGUAGGGAAUUUUCCACAAUGGACGAAAGUCUGAUGGAGCAACGCCGCGUGCAGGAUGAAGGGUUUCGGCUCGUAGACUGCUUUUAUCUGUGAAGAUUAUGACGGUAGCAGAUGAAUAAGGAUCGGCUAACUCCGUG
rnacentral:rRNA from 1 species